CGCGUAGGUGGUAGUGUAAGUCUGGGGUGGAAUCCCAGGGCUUAACCCUGGAACUGCCUUGGAAACUGCAUUACUUGAGUCAGUGAGGGGAGGGUAGAAUUCCUGGUGUAGCGGUGAAAUGCGUAGAUAUCAGGAGGAAGGCCUGUGGCGAAGGCGGCCCUCUGGCGCUGGACUGACACUGAGGCGCGAAAGCGUGGGAGCAAACAGGAUUAGAUACCCUGGUAGUCCACGCCCUAAAUGGUGGGCACUAGGUGUAGGGCUCGUAAGGGUUCUGUGCCGAAGGGAAACCAUUAGGUGCCCCGCCUGGGGAGUACGGCCGCAAGGUUGAA
rnacentral:rRNA from 1 species